rnacentral:rRNA from 1 species
CAGUCGCCGCGGUAAUACGUAGGUCCCGAGCGUUGUCCGGAUUUAUUGGGCGUAAAGCGAGCGCAGGCGGUUAGAUAAGUCUGAAGUUAAAGGCUGUGGCUUAACCAUAGUACGCUUUGGAAACUGUCUAACUUGAGUGCAGAAGGGGAGAGUGGAAUUCCAUGUGUAGCGGUGAAAUGCGUAGAUAUAUGGAGGAACACCGGUGGCGAAAGCGGCUCUCUGGUCUGUAACUGACGCUGAGGCUCGAAAGCGUGGGGAGCAAACAGGAUUAGAUACCCCAGUAGUCCCUGUCUCUUAUACA